CUGACGUGGACGGGGAACUGCGUGGAGAUCACAAUCAGGAGAUGUGGGGAUUUCACCAGCAGCACAUACUGUAGAAUAACCUUUACUACCUCACUGUUUGCUCUAUCAGCUGCAGAGGACUGAAGGAGGAGGUCUGUUUCCAGUAAGGGGGAGGGUACAAGAGGAGUGGAGGAGGAGACAGGAACAAAACAAAAGACAGUGAGGCAGAGACAGACAGACAGAAGAGGACCAGUGAGAGUGAUACACACGAUCAGAGACGACUAUUCAAAGAUGGAUUUAAGUUUGCUUCAAACUCUGGAGAGAGAACGAGUCCUGGAGGUUCUUCGGAGAGACAAGCAGCUGCGUGCCAUAGAAGACGACAGGAUAAGGAGGAUGAAACAUGAGCUCCAGGAGCUUCGACGUAGAGGUGCCAAGAGCUCCACCCGACAGUACGGCGAGCGGACCUGCGCCCGCUGCCAGAGGCCGCUGGGAAAGCUCUGGAACUCGGGCGCAGUCUGCCGCGGCUGUAGCCACCGGAUCUGCAGCAAGUGCCGUGUGUGCGUGGGAGCGGCGAACUGGAAGUGCACGGUCUGCCACGCCUACAGGGAGGUGAAGAUCAGGUCUGGAGAGUGGUUCUUAGAGGAGAAGGCAAAGAGAUUUCCGGUCACCACAGACAAAUAUGAGAUGGUCGGAGAAACACUGCUGAGGACCUACAAUGUGCUGAGCCAUAUAUCAGUGGUGCCUCCCACUCCUCCGCCCUACAUGGAAUAUCAUUACCUGAGCAGAUCUGGGGAUCUUAGAAACUCCAAACCUUUUACGAGUUCCAUGGAGAAUAUCAUGGUUUCUUUCGCCAGCCAUAUUAAAAAGACCUCCACCUCUCAGAGCGAUGUGCGAGGAGACCUGCUGAGAGUGGACAACCAGAGAGGGUCGCGCUUCACCUACAGCUCCCAAAAGAGCCUCUCUGACACUGACAUCAGCAAAGCGAGCCAUCUCUUCAAAGGCCCCAGUCUUCCAAACCUCUUCAAGAAAAACAGAGACAGCGACCAGGAUGGCUCCUCCACCGGGGCGGAAGAAGAAACUUCCUGCGGUUCUGAGUACUCUGGAGGAAGGAGAGGUAGCAGCAGUAGCAGCAUCAGCACAGACUGCAGCCUCUUCGAGAGCAUCAGCAUCGCAGGGGAGCUGGAGCUGGCCCUGGCCUACAACACCUACACCUCCUGUCUGGAGGUCACAGUCGGCGCCUGCAGAAAUCUCACCUGCGGAGACAGCAAGAAGAAGAAGUGUCACCCAUUCGUCAAACUCCACAUGCUGCCGGGAAAGAGCGGCAAGAUGAAGACGAGAGUGAAGAAAAACACGACUGAUCCGGUUUAUAAUGAAGUUUUUACGUUUAAACUAGAGCGCCACCUCCUGUUUGGAAAGAGACUGCGGGCCUCUGUGUGGCAUUCAGGAUCCCUGAAAAGGAAGGUGUUUCUCGGAGAGGUCCUUGUACCGCUGGACGGCUGGAGGUUUGAGGACAAGGACUCCCAGUGCUUCCACUGGUACCCACUUUGUGGAAAGGCUGAGAGUUCAGAGGGAGGCGCUGUGGAGCAGGACGGGGGAGAAAUGCUGGUCAGAGUCAAGUUCAGCUCCAACAACCAGGGUGUCUGACUGUGGGAGCAGGCAGAGAGCUCAUCAAAACGACGCCCAUUUGUCAGGGUGAGGCCGGGCGUGGGACGGCUCUUUGAACCCGGAGCUGUGGCCCCUCCUGCCUUUCUGAGGGACCCCUGAGGAGGGGCUCACACAGACCCUGGGUCACCAUGGCAACCGGUGUUGGACACCCUGACAGGUAGAGUGACGUCAGUUUCCCUGUUUCUUGCCAACGUCAACAUCAGGAGAAGAUGACAAAAUUCAACAUCUCUGCCCAACGACAAACUCAACACAUCAACAUGUUCACAGUGCUGCAGUAUUUACAUUGUGACAACUGUAAACUGGUCGUCAUUCAUUGUCUCUUUGUAAAGAAAUGUAUUUAAUUUAUUUAUCUGUCAAACUGAAUCACUUUAUGAUUAAAAAUAUUUAAGUCUGGAGCUUUAUGAUCCCUAUUUUUUGUACCCUGUAUUACAUGGUAUUAAAUAUGAGGGAAAAUAACAUGCUGAUGUUUAGCACGUUUAAUGUCCACCAUUUUCACCAUCUUAGUUUAGCAUGUUAUCAUAUUGAUGUUUGCUGGUUAGUACGAAACACAAAGCUCAGCUGAAACUGAUGGGAAUGUCAUUACUUUUGCAGAUAUGUUAUGAUUAAUCAUAGUUUCUAAAAGUAUGGCCCGCUGACCAGUGGCAGCCUUCAGAAACAUUUCGUGCGGACCCUGAACAUGACAUGCAUGUCAUCAAAAAAAGUCAUAGUAUAGUAUGUCAUCAUUUUUCAUCAAAAACAUCAAAGCAUUGUAUGUCAUUAUUUUUCCAUCAAAAAAGUCAUAGUAUAGUACGUCAUCAAUUUUUCCUACAAAAAGUUAUAAUAUAGAAUUUCCUCAUAUUUUCA